rfam:Oryza glumipatula chromosome 1, whole genome shotgun sequence.
UUUAAGUACAACCAUAAGUUUCCGCGCCCAAUUUUGAUCGUUCGUCUUAUUUGAAAAUUUUUUAUAAUUAGUAUUUUUGUUGUUAUGAGAUGAUAAAAUAUGAAUAGCACUUUACUUGUGAUUUAUGUCUUUAAAUUUUUUUUAAUAAGAUGGACGGUUAAAGUUGGGUACGGAAAAUAAUGGCUGCACUUAGA